GACGAACGCUGGCGGCGUGCUUAACACAUGCAAGUCGAACGGAAAGGCCCUGCUUGCAGGGUACUCGAGUGGCGAACGGGUGAGUAACACGUGGGUGAUCUGCCCUGCACUUCGGGAUAAGCCUGGUAGACUGGGUCUAAUACCGGAUAGGAGCCAUUUUUAGUGUGAUGGUUGGAAAGUUUUUUCGGUGUAGGAUGAGCUCGCGGCCUAUCAGCUUGUUGGUGGGGUAAUGGCCUACCAAGGCGGCGACGGGUAGCCGGCCUGAGAGGGUGGACGGCCACAUUGGGACUGAGAUACGGCCCAGACUCCUACGGGAGGCAGCAGUGGGGAAUAUUGCACAAUGGGCGCAAGCCUGAUGCAGCGACGCCGCGUGGGGGAUGACGGCCUUCGGGUUGUAAACUCCUUUCGCUAGGGACGAAGCUUUUUGUGACGGUACCUAGAUAAGAAGCACCGGCUAACUACGUG
rnacentral:rRNA from 1 species